UACGUAGGGUGCGAGCGUUGUCCGGAAUUACUGGGCGUAAAGAGUUCGUAGGCGGUUUGUCGCGUCGUUCGUGAAAACCUGGGGCUUAACUCCAAGCGUGCGGGCGAUACGGGCAGACUUGAGUACUACAGGGGAGACUGGAAUUCCUGGUGUAGCGGUGAAAUGCGCAGAUAUCAGGAGGAACACCGGUGGCGAAGGCGGGUCUCUGGGUAGUAACUGACGCUGAGGAACGAAAGCGUGGGUAGCGAACAGG
rnacentral:rRNA from 1 species